rnacentral:misc_RNA from 1 species
GGUGAAGAACGCAGCGAAAUGCGAUAAGUAAUGUGAAUUGCAGAAUUCAGUGAACCAUCGAAUCUUUGAACGCACAUUGCGCCCGGCAGUAAUCUGCCGGGCAUGCCUGUCCGAGCGUCAUUUCUGCCCUCGAGCGAGUCCAGCAUCUAGGUGCUGGGCCCGCCCGGCGUUGGGGCACUACGGGAAGCCCUGUGCUGUCCCCCGUAGGCCCCGAAAUGAAGUGGCGGUCCUGCCGCGGCGCCCCCUGCGUAGUAUAACAGCUCGCUUCGGGACCCGGUGGAGGCCUGCCGUCAAACCUUACUCUCUAAGUUUGACCUCGGAUCAGGUAGGGUUACCCGCUGAACUUAAGCAUAUCAAUAAGCGGAGGA